CUUCUAAGUAGUGCUACUGACGAGACU
rnacentral:sRNA from 1 species